rnacentral:lncRNA from 1 species
UUUGCAAAUAAAAAUUAAAACCUUAGUUUCCCAUAAAGAGGCAGCGUAAACAUCCGGCAGGGAAGAAUGGAAUUUUGGGGACAGUUAGCAGUCUUGAUUAUUAAUUAAGAGCAAAUAGUUCUUCCCUUGUAGCGUUCAUCACCAUCCCUCAAAAACACAAGUAAUAGAAAAAGCUGAGAUAGAGUUACCCUGGGAGAAUCCAAGAAUAACUUUGGUAAGGUUGUAUGCUAGGAGGAUCAGAAGACAACCAUAGUUAGCUAAGAGGUCAUGAUUUAGCAACAAAUGAAACCAGACUUGUCUAACAAAUUUCUCAUCAACAAACAUUGUACA